AUGCCGACCAAUUCAAAUUUAAAAAAUCCAAAGCUAGCCAGUCUUAAAAUACUAACUCAAUGCAUUUGUACCCUGAAAAUCUUUGAUGGGCGUAAGGUUGAAGGGUCAAUCUGACCUUAUUUAACCUAUAACCCUUGACCAGUCCAGACAAAUGCCGGGUAAUUCAAAAACAUCUGGUUUUAUGAACGUAAGUGGGUUGAAACACCGUCUCCCCACACAAUUAAAAACCCCCACAAGUUUAAAUCCAUUGAAAAAACAUAUAUUUUAUAUAAAAUAUAUUUCCUUUAAAACACUAAGAAACAAUUUUCAAUAGUAGUGCCCUUAUUGAUAAAACACAACGCAUUAGAUUUUUACUACGUUUAUUCAUUCAGAAAGCGUAGUAAAUAUCGGUCGGGUUGCCAUGGCGCUGAACAAAUUUAUCCAAUCGAGAGAGUUUACCGCACGGAGUGACAAUCGAUAUGCUAUAUUAUUCUUUUCAAUAUAGUGUUGUAUUAUACAUCGGACAUUUAUCAACUUAGAUAAAGGAAUGGAAUGCUAUUUUGAACAGUUAUGACAAAGGAUAUGUCUUAUAAAGUUAAAUAAUUAAAGAAAGGACUUAUAAAAACACUACAAAGAUAUGAUUAUUUGAGAUUUCUACAAAGACGUCUUUAGUUUUAACUGCAUAUUUGGAGAGGGGUGGAGUACUUACUUUUACAAUCAUAUAUUCGUUAUACUGUGACAAAUAUUAUGAACUUACUAAACAACAUGUCUGGAAUUCAGAUAGAUUACAACAAUAGAACUUACACCCAACGGACUGCUAACUGUUUACAAAUAUAUCAAACUUGAAAAACAGUUGAUCAAUUAAUAAAAUCGAACAAAAAGGAUAUGAUUUUAGACUUUAAUAACAAUGGAUAUGUGGAAAUAUUAUUGAGAAAUAAAAAGAAAGGGUUUAGUACCAUACACACCCAGAACAUUCUACACAACGAAGCUUACCAAUGGUUCCACCGGUGAUGCAAUAUUAUAUCAGACGACACACUGGAACUUUCUUUGCUAGAACAUUCUUUAUUAGUAUAAAAAGCUGCGCAGAAGCAAGCUGUUGUUAUAUACCACAACACAAACAACGAUAGAAUAGAAGGAAGGGAAAUUCAAAACGAUUAAAAUGGAUCAUAUAACAACAACAGAACUUUUGCAAGAUUUGAUUAAAUUAACCACCCACCUCAGCGAGAACUACAAACAAGAUUCUACAUGUGCAGAAUGGGAAACAAUUUUUCACACGAAAUAUUACUUCAAACUGGCAGAUGCGACCAAUCCACGACCUCAACGACGCACACGAAAUGAGAUUAAGAAUGAAUUAAAAGAUGAAAUUGUGAAAUCAUUCGGACAAGGAGCUGUUUUGGACAAUUUCAAUGCGGAUACCUCAACUAUAGAAACAUGUGCUCAAAGUAUUAUGAAUUUAGAUAAACAAAUACAAAAGACAAAACAACAUAUUGUUUUUUGUACUUACAAAAUUGGACUCAUAAUUAAAGAAAUGAAAAAAAUAUGUCCGAAAGAUUGCGGAUUAGGAUUAUUUCUUCAUAACAAUGGUAUACAUUAUUCUGAUUCUUAUUGUCGACAUCUUGUUUUAGUUUCUCAUUUAAUUCAGAAACAUAAAAAAUUGCAUAAAUGUAGCAUAAACAUCGGAACUUUAAUAAAAAAAAAAGAAAACUGAUUGAGGAAAUAUGUAAAGAAUUAAACUGGUAAUUUGUAUUAAGCAAUGUUCACGCUUAUGUUUAACAUUAAGAGAAUUUCUAUGUAUUACGUCACUUCCGUGUACAAUGUUCACGUUUAUUUUUAGAUUUAGUUACUACGUCACUUCCGUGUACAAUGUUCACGUUUAUUUUUAGAUUUAGUUACUACGUCACUUCCGUGUACAAUGUUCACGUUUAUUUUUAGAUUAGUUAUCACUUGUACUGAAUUGUGAAAUUGAAUAUGAUUGUUUGUUUAUUUUCGAGUAGUAUAGAAUAUAACAUUUUUAUUAAAAUAAUUUAUAAUUGUUUGUUCGUUUAUUCUUUGAUUAUGAAUAUUUAGUAUUUUAUACAAUAAAUCAUACAACGGUACUUUGUUUUGUAACAUUUUUAUGAAAAAUAAACAAUAAUAACCACAGAG